rnacentral:rRNA from 1 species
UGUGGUUUAAUUCGAUGCAACGCGAAGAACCUUACCAGGGUUUGACAUCCUGCGAAUCUUUGGAAACAGAAGAGUGCCUUCGGGAACGCAGAGACAGGUGGUGCAUGGCUGUCGUCAGCUCGUGUCGUGAGAUGUUGGGUUAAGUCCCGCAACGAGCGCAACCCACGUCUUUAGUUGCCAGCAUUCAGUUGGGCACUCUAGAGAGACCGCCGGUGAUAAACCGGAGGAAGGUGUGGAUGACGUCAAGUCAUCAUGCCCCUUACAUCCUGGGCUACACACGUACUACAAUGCUACGGACAAAGGGCAGCAAACUCGCGAGAGCUAGCAAAUACCCAUAAACCGUGGCUCAGUUCAGAUCGUAGGCUGCAACUCGCCUACGUGAAGGAGGAAUCGCUAGUAAUCGCAGGUCAGCAUACUCGCGGUCGAAUACGUUCCGGGCCUU